rnacentral:rRNA from 1 species
CCUAACACAUGCAAGUCGAACGAACCCUUCGGGGUUAGUGGCGCACGGGUGCGUAACGCGUGGGAAUCUGCCCUUUGCUUCGGAAUAACAGUUAGAAAUGACUGCUAAUACCGGAUGAUGACUUCGGUCCAAAGAUUUAUCGGCAAAGGAUGAGCCCGCGUAGGAUUAGGUAGUUGGUGGGGUAAAGGCCUACCAAGCCGACGAUCCUUAGCUGGUCUGAGAGGAUGAUCAGCCACACUGGGACUGAGACACGGCCCAGACUCCUACGGGAGGCAGCAGUGGGGAAUAUUGGACAAUGGGGGCAACCCUGAUCCAGCAAUGCCGCGUGAGUGAUGAAGGCCUUCGGGUCGUAAAGCUCUUUUACCAGGGAUGAUAAUGACAGUACCUGGAGAAUAAGCUCCGGCUAACUCCGUGCCAGCAGCCGCGGUAAUACGGAGGGAGCUAGCGUUGUUCGGAAUUACUGGGCGUAAAGCGCACGUAGGUGGUUACUCAAGUCAGAGGUGAAAGCCCGGGGCUCAACCCCGGAACUGCCUUUGAAACUAGGUGACUGGAAUCUUGGAGAGGCGAGUGGAAUUCCGAGUGUAGA